rnacentral:rRNA from 1 species
UAAAAUUCCAGUACCUUUAUUCAAUGCGAUGUGGGGACGAAGUAGGUUAGCUUGGCCAGGUGUUGGAUGUCCUGGUUUAGGUAUGUAGGUGUGUUGCUUAGGUAAAUCCGAGCAAUGUAGCUGAGAUAUGAUGACGCAACACUCUUCGGAGUGCCAAGUAAGUAAUACCAAACUUCCAGGAAAAGCCACUAAGCUUCAGUUGAAUAAAGACCGUACCGCAAACCAACACAGGUGGGUAGGAUGAAAAUUCUAAGGCGCUUGAGAGAACUCAGGAGAAGGAACUCGGCAAAAUUGCACCGUAACUUCGGAAUAAGGUGUGCCUUUGGUAUGUGUAAUGCCUUGCGCAUGAAGCAGAAAAAGGUUGCAAAAAAUAGGUGGCUGCGACUGUUUAAUAAAAACAUAGCACUCUGCAAACACGUAAGUGGACGUAUAGAGUGUGACGCCUGCCCGGUGCCGGAAGGUUAAAUGAUGGGGUGAGAGCUCUUGAUUGAAGCCCCGGUAAACGGCGGCCGUAACGAUAACGGUCCUAAGGUAGCGAAAUUCCUUGUCGGGUAAGUUCCGACCUGCACGAAUGGCGUAACGAUGGCCACGCUGUCUCCUCCUGGGACUCAGCGAAUUUGAAAUGUUUGUGAAGAUGCAAUCUUCCCGCGGCUAGACGGAAAGACCCCGUGCACCUUUACUGUAGCUUUACAUUGGAUUUUGAUAACAUCUGUGUAGAAUAGGUGGGAGACUUUGAAGUGGAUUCGCUAGAAUUCAUGGAGUCAUCGUUGAAAUACCACCCUGAUGUUGUCGGGAUUCUAACCUAAAUCCAUUAUCUGGAUUGGGGACCGUGUAUGGUAGGCAGUUUGACUGGGGCGGUCUCCUCCCAAAUUGUAACGGAGGAGCACGAAGGUACGCUAGGUACGGUCGGAAAUCGUGCUAAUAGUGCAAUGGCAAAAGCGUGCUUAACUGCGAGACUGACAAGUCGAGCAGAUGCGAAAGCAGGUCAUAGUGAUCCGGUGGUUCUGUAUGGAAGGGCCAUCGCUCAACGGAUAAAAGGUACGCCGGAGAUAACAGGCUGAUUCCUCCCAAGAGUUCAUAUCGACGGGGGAGUUUGGCACCUCGAUGUCGGCUCAUCACAUCCUGGGGCUGUAGCCGGUCCCAAGGGUAUGGCUGUUCGCCAUUUAAAGUGGUGCGUGAGCUGGGUUUAAAACGUCGUGAGACAGUUUGGUCCCUAUCUGCCGUGGGCGUUGGAAGUUUGAGUGGGGCUGCUUCUAGUACGAGAGGACCGAAGUGGACGCACCUCUGGUGUACCGGUUAUAACGCCAGUUGUAUUGCCGGGUAGCUAAGUGCGGGAAAGAUAACCGCUGAAAGCAUCUAAGCGGGAAACUUGCCACAAGAUAAGACUUCCCGAGGAUUUAAUCCUCCUAAAGGUUCGUUGAAGACUACAACGUUGAUAGGUCGAAUGUGUAAGCGUAGUAAUAUGUUCAGCUAAUCGAUACUAAUUGACCGUGCGGCUUGAUCCU